rnacentral:tRNA from 1 species
GCCUGGCUGGCUCAGUCGGUAGAGCAUGAGACUCUUGAUCUCGGGGGUUGUGAGUUCGAGCUCCACAUUGGGUA